rnacentral:rRNA from 1 species
GACGAACGCUGGCGGCGUGCUUAACACAUGCAAGUCGAACGAUGAAGCCGGAGCUUGCUCUGGUGAAUUAGUGGCGAACGGGUGAGUAACACGUGAGUAACCUGCCCUUGACUCUGGGAUAACUGCGGGAAACUGUAGCUAAUACCGGAUACGACCCUCGGAGGCAUCUCCUGGGGGGGGAAAGCAUUUCGGUCAAGGAUGGACUCGCGGCCUAUCAGCUAGUUGGUGAGGUAAAGGCUCACCAAGGCGACGACGGGUAGCCGGCCUGAGAUGGUGACCGGCCACACGGGGACUGAGACACGGCCCAGACUCCUACGGGAGGCAGCAGUGGGGAAUAUUGCACAAUGGGCGCAAGCCUGAUGCAGCAACGCCGCGUGAGGGAUGACGGCCUUCGGGUUGUAAUCCUCUUUUAGCAGGGAAGAAGCGAAAGUGACGGUACCUGCAGAAAAAGCACCGGCUAACUACGUGCCAGCCGCCGCGGUAA